rnacentral:rRNA from 1 species
UACGGGGGGGCAAGCGUUGUUCGGAAUUACUGGGCGUAAAGGGCUCGUAGGCGGCCAACUAAGUCAGACGUGAAAUCCCUCGGGCUUAACCGGGGAACUGCGUCUGAUACUGGAUGGCUUGAGUGUGGGAGAGGGAUGCGGAAUUCCAGGUGUAGCGGUGAAAUGCGUAGAUAUCUGGAGGAACACCGGUGGCGAAGGCGGCAUCCUGGACCACGACUGACGCUGAGUGAGCGAAAGCCA